ACGAACGCUGGCGGCGCGCCUAAUACAUGCAAGUCGAGCGAGAAGACGUAGCAAUACGUUUGUAAAGCGGCGAACGGGUGAGGAAUACAUGGGUAACCUACCCUCGAGUGGGGAAUAACUAGCCGAAAGGUUAGCUAAUACCGCGUACGCUCCUUGGACUUCGGUUCAGGGAGGAAAGCGAUACCGUGGGUAUCGCGCUCUU
rnacentral:rRNA from 1 species